GCAGAGAACGAGAGCGGACCAGGUCCUUGGCUGUCUCCGCUGCGAAUCUCCGCAUCGCUUUUUAUACCCACGAACGAGCGAAGCAAGAGAGAGAGAGACAGAGACACGGAGGGCUGGCUGGCGUGCGGGACGUGAAGGCGUGCGGAAUGAGGCAGGGAUACGAGGAAAUCGUCGUCAGCAAGGACCCCCUCAAGAGCAAGGAAGGGAUAGAAAAAGAAACUGCCACGUCAGAUAUCGGUAUCUUCCACCCGGCCAUUGGCAAAGUGCGCCCGACACUAUGGGUGAUCAGAUUUCCAAUGGCGUCACGUGCACAUGCAUCUCAUGAUUUUUUUCAUAGCAAAAGAAGCUGUCGAAUUGUAAUUGGACGGUCAGGUGGCACCACGGACUUUCUCUAAUCUUCUUCACAUCCUCCAUCCUCUUCUUUUCAAAGCGUUCAAAGCGGUUUUCGCUUUUCUCUUUCGUUCCAAAUUCUCGAAGCACUUUUGAAAUAGAAAAUGAAACCACCCAAUGACUUCUACA